GGUCUAGUCUAGUGGUUAAAGCACCAGGCUAGAAAUCAGGAGAUCGCAGGUUCUAGUCCUGCCUUAACCA
rnacentral:tRNA from 1 species